GCUGCUAAGUUCUUCUUCCCUGUCCUUGUUCUCUUCAGUCUCCUUGGUCCCCUUUGUUGCACUUGUAGCAUCCCUUGUAUCAUCUAAUUUGUCAUUGUUUUGCAGAGUUGCAAAGGCAUUAUUAGUGCCGACUCCUUCGGUAUGUUUUUCAGCUUCCACUUUAUUUUUGCCAUUAGGCUAGUGAGAAGACGGCUUCUCUAGCAAAGAAAUUAGGCGGCAAGUCUGGAAAACUAAUCCAUGCUACUGCUAUUGAUGGCUCCUCUUCUGGAACAAACCAAGGAUUCCACUUCAAUGGUCUCAUUUGUCAGUACAAGUUGUGCACCUUCAAAUAGUAUGCUGGGGUCGACAUCAUCUUCACAUAAUCCUCCAAUAGAGAUAAUCGUAUUAAAACAUGUCUGUUUUCUAAUAGUCCUAUGUUGCAUGGCCCUUUGAUCUCGCAUUGCACUGGGAUUACUUUACGUAAUUCAUGUAAAUCUGGCUUAUCAUAAGAGAACUUUCCUAGAAUUGCAUAUUGUAAAUUCUCUUGUAUGAUCAUCUGUUGAACUUCUGAUGACUUCCAAGUGAUUUGUGGCUCAGCAUGUAGGUAAACCACUGUCUUCCUCUGAA